ACUAUCCGCCUGGGGACUACGAGCAACAGCUUAAAACCCAAAGGACUUGGAGGUGCUUUAGACCCACCUAGAGGAGCCUGUUCUGAAACCGAUAACCCCCGUUCAACCUCACCUUUUCUUGUUCUCCCCGCCUAUAUACCGCCGUCGUCAGCUUACCCUAUGAAGGCCCCUUAGUAAGCACAAUUGGUACAACCCAAAACGUCAGGUCGAGGUGUAGCGUAUGGAAAGGGAAAAAAUGGGCUACAUUCCUUAACCCCAAGGAAUUACGAAAAAUAUCACUGAAACGUGUAUCUAGAAGGAGGAUUUAGCAGUAAGCAGAAAAUAGAGCGUUCUGCUG
rnacentral:rRNA from 1 species